GAGGUCUCCCAUUGUCCCUUCUGUCUAUACAGUGUUCAUCCAUUUUUUUGGUCUUAUUUACGUCUCGAUCGUAGCAGUGACUAUUCUACGUAUCAUUUUAAUUUUCGUUACAACUUUCAAGUUAAUUUUAUUCUCAUAGUGAUUUAAAGGGAUUUAAUAGUAUUUCUUAGUGCUAAAAAUAUCGAUAUCGCAGACAUUGACAUUGAUCUUCAAACACAUUUACAAGCAUGUGAAUAAAAGAAGUGAAUUUAGAAUUGAAAAUGCUCCAAAUUGACGGUUUAUCAGCUCCAAUGAAACUUCGGUUUCCAAAUUCAUAAACAGGAUCCAGCAGUUAUCCAUUCAGUUGUGCAUCUCGAAAUCCGCCAACGCAUAUUUUUUACGAACGAGAUCUUGCUACAAUAAUUGUGUUGUAUAACAUAUGUACAGUCAAUCCAAGUCAUAGGGGUGCUAUCUGUGACUGUUGUCGGUUAAUGCUACCGAACCAUUGCCAUUUCGUAAAAAAGUGGUCAACAGUAUGCAACGAAUUAAGAUGCAUGGCAUGCACUAGAAAGAUAUGUUUUCCUAUCCGAUCAUAAAUGUUGUAUGAUAAUCAUAAAGAUUCGAUAACUGAUGGCAUACUGUAUCGAGAUCGUACAAUUUGCAACGAUUUAACGAUAUCAUUCAAUGACGUAAUGUACAAUGAGCAUUGUCAUUGCGAAUUUACUAAUCAGCUAUUUCGGUAUGAGUUCACCAAUCGGAGUGCAUAUGAUUUAAAAACACAGAUAUAAAUGGUGAAGCGCAGUGUGAUACGGGCCAAUUGGCAGCGACUGUUAUACGCAAUGUUCCACUACUAAAUGAUGAAAAAAAUUUAACUUAAGACUGCAUAAUGCGCACUAGGUGGAACUGGAAAAAAAUUCUUUGUUAUGAUAUUUCUUGCUGAGUAUACGAUCAAAACUAUCACCGCUGUAGCCGUUGUGUCAUUCGGUAUUGCAACGACUGUAUACUGCUGGAGCAGUAUAAAAUAUCAUAUAAAUUUACAUCCAAAAUGACACUAUAGCACACAAACAUUCGCUUGGGGCAUUGGAUAGAAUAUUGAAUACGAGUGAUUUUAAACAUUUUCAACGUACGCUAAUGAUAUCAACACUGGCUUGAAAUCAACGCGAAUGUAGUGUUAUGUUGAAAAAGUACAACUGACAGUAACCAUGCGCGUUUAUAUGUAUAACAACUGUUAUUGGCAAUAGAAAGGUAGCUUUACAUGAAUAUACCGGAUAACUAAAAUUGCCGACUGAUUGCUGCACAAUCAUUAACUCACAAAAUACUUUCAUCAACAAUAUAUUAUAUAUAGGCUGAUUCAUUUCGAGUUUCCCUGCCUUUUUAAAGAAUAAAAAUACACAAAAAUUUAAAUCAAA